rnacentral:rRNA from 1 species
CCAACGGGUGGCUGCAGUGGGGAAUAUUGGACAAUGGGGGCAACCCUGAUCCAGCCAUGCCGCGUGUGUGAAGAAGGCCCUCGGGUUGUAAAGCACUUUCAGUGAGGAAGAACGCCUGGUGGUUAAUACCCAUCAGGAAAGACAUCACUCACAGAAGAAGCACCGGCUAACUCCGUGCCAGCAGCCGCGGUAAUACGGAGGGUGCGAGCGUUAAUCGGAAUUACUGGGCGUAAAGCGCGCGUAGGUGGCUUGAUAAGCCGGUUGUGAAAGCCCCGGGCUCAACCUGGGAACGGCAUCCGGAACUGUCAAGCUAGAGGGCAGGAGAGGAAGGUAGAAUUCCCGGUGUAGCGGUGAAAUGCGUAGAGAUCGGGAGGAAUACCAGUGGCGAAGGCGGCCUUCUGGACUGACACUGACACUGAGGUGCGAAAGCGUGGGUAGCAAACAGGAUUAGAUACCCUGGUAGUC